GGAUGAAGAACGUAGCGAAAUGCGAUAAGUAAUGCGAAUUGCAGAAUUUCCGUGAAUCAUCGAGUCUUUGAACGCACAUUGCGCCCCCUGGUAUUCCGGGGGGCAUGCCUGUCCGAGCGUCAUUGCUGCCCUCAAGCACGGCUUGUGUGUUGGGCCCCGUCCUCCGAUCCCGGGGGACGGGCCCGAAAGGCAGCGGCGGCACCGCGUCCGGUCCUCGAGCGUAUGGGGCUUUGUCACCCGCUCUGUAGGCCCGGCCGGCGCUUGCCGAUCAACCCAAAUUUUUUAUCCAGGUUGACCUCGGAUCAGGUAGGGAUACCCGCUGAACUUAAGCAUAUCAAUAAGCGGAGGA
rnacentral:misc_RNA from 1 species